CCAGAGGACGGGGGGGGGGGGGAGGGGGCUCCGGUGGUUGGGAGCCAGAGGACCGGGGUGGGGGGGGGCGGUUUGUCGGAGGGAGGCGGCGAUGGAGCUCCGGUGAGUGCAGAACUGCGGAGAAUAGUUUCGGAAGUCCUGGAAACAGAAGUUUGGUCGUAAACGGAGACCCUGUCAAUUCAAAACGUGUGCGCGAAACAGCCGCGGUGAAUUAAACUGCGCCACUGCAAGUUGGACAGUCGGGCGAGAAGCGCGAACCCUCCUGAGUUGGAAGGGAUUUCAGUGGAUGCUGCCUGACCUGCCGUCUCCAUCUGCUUCUGUUUGUAUUUCCGAUUUCCAGAAUCUUAAGUUUUUUGAUUUUCUCUCCAUUCCGUCCCGUUCACCUCGCAUCCUCCUGAACAUGGAUUCAUUUAUCCCCAUGGAUUACUGGUGUGGUGAGCAAGCGAGUUAACAUUAAAAAAUAAGUCACGAAAAAAAAUCACACCGGGAUCUCCUUCACCGCCAAGGCAAAGGGUCUUGUACUGUAUCUCUUCACAAACAGUGGUUUGUACGUUAUCUGACAAAGGCUAAAUGUGUUGCCGAAAACGUUCCUCAUGUAACAAGAAUAUAAUGUACUGUACUGUAAUGUACUGUGAUGUAAUGUAAUGUGCUGUAAUUAAUAUGAUGCAAUGUAAUGUACCAUAAUGCAAUGUACUGUAAUGUAAUGCAAUGCAAUGUUCUGUAAUGUGAUGUAAUGUAACGUGACUAGAGUUACCUUGGAAGUUCCUGUACCUUACAGUAAUGUCCCUCAACUUUUCGUCAGAAACUCCUCAGUCACCUCCACUAUUUCCCUGUCUUGAUUUCAUUUUUUGUCUCAUAGUUUUCCAACUGCUCGCAUAACCCAAUCGGAAUCUUCUUUUUUCGUGCAUAUUUAACACAUUUCCACCCGGACCUCGGUUCCUCCGGUUCAGUCACAGAACAGGCCCUUCGGCCCACAAUGUUGUGCAGACAUAGCUAAUCCCUCCUGCCUACAGAAUGCUCAUAUCCCUGCAUUUUCUCUCAUUCGUGUGCCCAUCCAAGCCCCGCUUAAAAGCCCCCAAUGAAUUUGCCUCCACCACCCUAUCAGGCAGCGCAUUCCAGGCAUCCACCACUCUCUGAGUAAAAAACUUAACCUUUACGUCUGUUCUGAACCUACCCCCUCUCACCUUAAAUGCAUGUCCUCUGGUACUGGAUCGCUCAAUAAUGGGAAAAAAGAUAUUGCUUGUCCACCCUAUCUAUGUCCCUCAUAAUUUUAUACACUUCCAACAGAUCACCCCUCAGCCUCCCCCGCUCCAGAGAAAAGAGCCGAAAUUUGUCCUCCCUCUCCUGAUAGCACAUACCCUCUAAUCCAGGCAGCAUCCUAGUAAACCUCCUCUGCACCCCCUCUAAAGCUUCGACAUCCUUCCUAUAGUGAGGUGACCAGAAUAUCACUCCACAUGACAUUAUUAAAUCAAGGCAGCUCUUGCAUAUUGGGAUCCAUCACUCAAUCUCUACUUGAGAAAUUUCCUUACUCGGCCUGUAUGGUCUGAACAUUUAGUCAGGCAGAGUUAACACCUGGGGGUCAGCGAAUCAGACAACUGACGUUGACCUGGGGGCCUGGUGGCAGUUCCAUCAUAUCGUGUUAUACCCUGAGUCGCCAAUGUCAUCGCCCAGUUCAAUCUGCACAACUGCCUUCACCGGAUUCACUACGUGUUCAAUGUAUUAUGUGUUCACAAAUUUCAAUGUGCAUUUCAUAUUCUCUGCAAAUUACUAGAAAUUCGAUAAACCUGCCAGAGGCCCUGUCUGGGAUUUUCCUCAGGCGAAGGAAUAACGCCACACGCCAGGGCAAGGUUGUGGGAAAUGGGGAAAGUAAAUACCUGGGGAAUGUGGUCGGUGAGGUAGCAAAGUGACAUUCUGGCUCUGGAAAUGCAUUGCGCAAAAAUAAACAGAUAACUAAGAUAAUUUCUGAUUUCAGUUUAAAAUAGUUAAUGAUGAAAAUUGGGCACAGAACAUCACGGGAAAUAAAUAAUGAGAGUUCGUUCCCCAACAAGGAUGCCCGAACCUAGGUGCUGCAACAGGAGAUUCACAACUUUGAAAAAUCUUCGCUGUGAAAAAACAAUAAAGAGACUGUGCGAUUAUAAGAUCCAGAAAGAAACAUCAGCGGUCAGCAGAAUUUUCAACGCACUGAUGGACCGUGAGACCAGUAACAAAGGAUGAAAAAGACGAUAGAAACACCACGUGAGGAGCGAGGAUAUAAUGAUAUUGCUGCGUCUAUUAAUUCUACUAAUUAUUUAAAUCCCAAGGUUCAACCAUCCUCUUGCCACCCCGUAAAUGGAUAAAAAAAAUUCUCAGCUAAAACAUGGAUUAAAACGCAUCAACUCGAAUAUGUUGCACCCUAGAAAUAUUGCACAUGGAUUACUUUAUAGCAAUUGAUUAUAGUGUGGCAAGCAAGUGAGUUAACAUUUAAACAGAAAACACGAAAAAAAAAUCAUAAAGUGAUUUCCCUUCACCGCCAAGGCAAAGGGUUUGUGUUUGGAAAUUAUCUCUUUACAAACUGUGGUUUAUAUGCUAAUCUGACAAAGACUAAAUGUGUUGCUGUAAACGUCCAGA